GACGAACGCUGGCGGCGUGCUUAACACAUGCAAGUCGAGCGGUAAGGCUCCUUCGGGAGUACACGAGCGGCGAACGGGUGAGUAACACGUGAGCAAUCUGCCCUUCACACUGGGAUAACCCUCGGAAACGAGAGCUAAUACCAGAUAUGACCACUUCGGGCAUCCGAUGGUGGUGGAAAGUUCCGGCGGUGAAGGAUGAGCUCGCGGCCUAUCAGCUUGUUGGUGAGGUAAUGGCUCACCAAGGCUUCGACGGGUAGCCGGCCUGAGAGGGUGACCGGCCACACUGGGACUGAGACACGGCCCAGACUCCUACGGGAGGCAGCAGUGGGGAAUAUUGGACAAUGGGCGAAAGCCUGAUCCAGCAACGCCGCGUGAGGGAUGACGGCCUUCGGGUUGUAAACCUCUUUCAGCGCAGACGAAGCGAAAGUGACGGUAUGCGCAGAAGAAGCGAGAGUGACGGUACCUGCAGAAAAAGCACCGGCUAACUACGUGCCAGCAGCCGCCGUAACAC
rnacentral:rRNA from 1 species